CCUACGGGUGGCAGCAGUGAGGAAUAUUGGUCAAUGGACGAGAGUCUGAACCAGCCAAGUAGCGUGAAGGAUGACUGCCCUAUGGGUUGUAAACUUCUUUUAUAAAGGAAUAAAACGAGGCACGUGUGCCUUUUUGCAUGUACUUUAUGAAUACGGAUCGGCUAACUCCGUGCCAGCAGCCGCGGUAAUACGGAGGAUCCGAGCGUUAUCCGGAGUUAUUGGGUUUAAAGGGAGCGUAGAUGGGUUGUUAAGUCAGUUGUGAAAGUUUGCGGCUCAACCGUAAAAUUGCAAUUGAUACUGGCAGUCGUGAGUACAGUAGAGGUAGGCGGAAUUCGUGGUGGAGCGGUGAAAUGCUUAGAUAUCACGAAGAACCCCGAUUGCGAAGGCAGCUUACUAAACUGUGACUGACAUUGAUGCUCGAAAGUGUGGGUAUCAAACAGGAUUAGAUACCCGAGUAGUC
rnacentral:rRNA from 1 species